GGAAGGAUCAUUAGUGAAUAUCAGGGUGCUCUUUUCUGCGGAAGCGAUUAGAGGCCUGACCUCCACUUAUCCUAACACUGUGCACAUUUAAAAAUUGAAGUGGGCCUUAAUUAGCUCGCUACAAUUUUUCAUCUUUAACACUAGUCAAAGAAUGUAAAUAAAACAUAACAAAGAAAAACUUUCAACAACGGAUCUCUUGGCUCUCGCAUCGAUGAAGAACGCAGCGAAAUGUGAUAAGUAAUGUGAAUUGCAGAAUUCAGUGAAUCAUCGAAUCUUUGAACGCACCUUGCGCUCUCUGGUAUUCCGGAGAGCAUGCCUGUUUGAGUGUCAUGAACUCUUCAACCCACCAGUUUCUUGUUAAACUGUGUUGGUGUUUGGUUUCUGAACGUUGCUGGUUCCUCGUGAACGUUAGCUCGUUUAAAAUAUAUUAGCAUCUCAAUUUCGAAACUUGGAUUGACUCAGCGUAAUAGACUAUUCGCUGAGGACACCUUUCAUUAGGUGGCCAUGUUAGAUAACGACUGAUGCUUAUAGCACUCUAUCUAGUCAUUCUUUUAAGAUUAGACCUCAGAUCAGGCAGGAUUACCCGCUGAACUUAAGCAUAUCAAUAAGCGGAGGAAAAGAAACUAACAAGGAUUCCCCUAGUAACGGCGAGUGAAGCGGGAAGAGCUCAAAUUUGUAAUCUGGUACCUUCGGUGCCCGAGUUGUAAUCUCGAGAAGUGUUUUCCGCGCCAGACCGCAUACAAGUCUGUUGGAAUACAGCGUCAUAGUGGUGAGAACCCCGUACAUGAUGCGGAUGCCUGGUGCUCUGUGAUACACUUUCGAAGAGUCGAGUUGUUUGGGAAUGCAGCUCAAAUUGGGUGGUAAAUUCCAUCUAAAGCUAAAUAUUGGCGAGAGACCGAUAGCGAACAAGUACCGUGAGGGAAAGAUGAAAAGCACUUUGGAAAGAGAGUUAACAGUACGUGAAAUUGUUGGAAGGGAAACGCUUGAAGUCAGACUUGCUAGUUGGAGUUCAGCCGCAAGGCGUAUUCUUCGAUGUGCAGGCCAGCAUCAGUUUUCCGGGGUGGAAAAGGGUUUUGAGAAGGUAGCAGUUUCGGCUGUGUUAUAGCUCUUAACUGGAUUCAUCCUGGGGGACUGAGGAACGCAGUACGCUUUUUGCAAGGCUCUCGAGCUUUUCGUACUUAGGAUGCUGGUGGAAUGGCUUUAAACGACCCGUCUUGAAACACGGACCAAGGAGUCUAACAUGCUUGCGAGUAUUUGGGUGUUAAACCCGGAUGCGUAAUGAAAGUGAAUGUAGGUGGGAUCCGCAAGGUGCACCAUCGACCGAUCUGGAUUUUUUAAGAUGGAUUUGAGUAAGAGCAAUUAUGUUGGGACCCGAAAGAUGGUGAACUAUGCCUGAAUAGGGCGAAGCCAGAGGAAACUCUGGUGGAGGCUCGUAGCGGUUCUGACGUGCAAAUCGAUCGUCAAAUUUGGGUAUAGGGGCGAAAGACUAAUCGAACCAUCUAGUAGCUGGUUCCUGC
rnacentral:misc_RNA from 1 species